GGUGGUUCUCAGGUCACGCACCCCAGAAUCGGGCUCCCUCCUUUCUGGUUCUGGGUGCGUCACCUGAGAACUGCA
rfam:Myotis lucifugus cont2.59329, whole genome shotgun sequence.